rnacentral:lncRNA from 1 species
UUCCUUCCUGCCGUUCUGCUUCCACUGAUUAAUACAGCCAUUAAAAAAUGAAAUCUGUUCCUUAAGACAAAAUAUGGUUAAACAUUCCUGCGCGCUCCAUCCUUGAAACAGAUUUCAGUAUUGGCCUAUCUUCUCAGUGUUUGUUUUGGUUCCUUCAGCCCACGCUGGAGUCCAUGGGUUUUUUCCUUCACUCAUCAUCUCGCCUCCUGCUGCUUCAGCCGAGAAUGAAGUAAUAAUUCAGCAAGCUGUUCAGGACUUCCCAUCAGCCCAACUGCACCGCGCCGUGUUUUCAGGGCUCAGGCAUCCUUGAACUCCACGGCGGAGCAAGCCGCGGGAGGGAACUCACUCAUGUUGGCUCCCUUGCCUCAAUUAAGGCAGUUUAGGAAGCAAAGUGAGAGAAGCACUUUAAAAAGCACAUGAAUAUCUCCUCGUGGGUCCUCACUUGCAUGUCCUUACGAAGCCGGAUUGUUUGUAGCCUACUCUGCAAUUCCAGAGUGUCUGAGCUCUGUGGAAGGGACCAUCCAAAACUAAUGAAAUACCAUCUUAACGUAAGCACCUAAAGCAAGCAUGUGUGCGCCACGGGGGCCUCAGUCCUGGUGGUUUCCUGGAGAAGAUUUCACAUGAGAGAAAAAGCUUCUCUGUUCC